CCGUAGGUGAACCUGCGGAGGGAUCAUUACUGAGUUAUCAAAACUCCAAACCCUUUGUGAACCUUACCGUCGUUGCCUCGGCGUGAGCUACGGCUACCCUGUAACUACCCUGGAGCUACCCUAGAGUUACCCUAUAGCUACCCUGCACUUACCCUGCAGCUACCCUAUAGCUACCCUAGAGCUACCCUGGAGCUACCCUGUAGUCGGCUUCGGCCCGCCGAAGGACCGUUAAACUCUUGUUUUUACCACUGUUUCUCUGAAUUUUAAACCAAAAUAAGUUAAAACUUUCAACAACGGAUCUCUUGGUUCUGGCAUCGAUGAAGAACGCAGCGAAAUGCGAUAAGUAAUGUGAAUUGCAGAAUUCAGUGAGUCAUCGAAUCUUUGAACGCACAUUGCGGCCAUUAGUAUUCUAGUGGGCAUGCCUAUUCGAGCGUCAUUUCGACCCCUAAGCCCCUGUUGCUUAGCGUUGGGAAUCUACGGCGUAGUUCCUCAAAGUUAGUGGCGGAGUUAGGGUACACUCUCAGCGUAGUAAUUUCUCUCGCUCGUGUGGUGGCCCUGGCUGCUAGCCGUUAAAACCCCUAUAUUUUCUAGUGGUUGACCUCGGAUUAGGUAGGAAUACCCGCUGAACUUAAGCAUAUCAAUAAGCGGAGGA
rnacentral:rRNA from 1 species